UACGGGGGGAGCAAGCGUUGUUCGGAUUUACUGGGCGUAAAGGGCGCGUAGGCGGCCUCCGCAAGUCAAUUGUGAAAUCUCCGGGCUUAACCCGGAAAGGUCAACUGAUACUGCGGGGCUAGAGUGCGGAAGGGGCAACUGGAAUUCUCGGUGUAGCGGUGAAAUGCGUAGAUAUCGAGAGGAACACCUGCGGCGAAGGCGGGUUGCUGGGCCGACACUGACGCUGAGGCGCGAAAGCUAGGGGAGCGAACGGG
rnacentral:rRNA from 1 species